rnacentral:misc_RNA from 1 species
GGUUUGGUUUGCCAACACUUAUAAGCUUUUCAUUUUCUUAUACACUGCCAAUGUGGGACUUGUUCUCACAAGGAAUAUUCUAACAAAAAGCAAAUAUUCAUAAAAAAUUCAAAAUAUGAACAUAACAUAACAAAUGGUCAUUUUUUAGGAAAAAUUAUCACUUUGCUAGGAUGGAACAUAAAGCCUAUGCAUACGCAAAUGAUACAGGUAGCCUGACUAUUGUUUAUUGGCCAAUAUGAAAAAUUUAUGUUGUUCAAAAUCAAACUGGUUUGUAACUCCACCAAACAAGCUAGCAUCUAGGGUUCCUUUUAAAGGAGAAUCUAUUAUGUCCUUAGAAGCCCAUUCUAAGGCAGUUUAAUGGAUACUUCAGCAUUUUUGUUCAAGAGAGAGGCACCCCGAUAACAUAGGAGGGGAGAAUUGAGGCACUUAAAUGAUGAAAAGGGGAGUAUUGGCGAUGUGUGAUUUCAGAGUGGCAGAUUUAGCAACUUUCCAACUACAAAGCUGGCAUAUGCAGAACGUUAACAACAGAUUCUCACAGACUAGGAAGAUGCUAGAUUAGUUGUGGUAGACUAUACUGGAAAGGUAUCCAGAUAGCGGUAGAGGGCCUGGAGGCUUGUAAGGCAUGCCUUUCCCAUGCCUUAUAUCUUGAAACAGGCACUUGCCACUGCAAUGUCACCUUGCCUCAACCCUAUUUGAGGCCUGUGAGGCAUGCCUUUCUCAUGCUCUAGGGUCCAGUGCAACAUUAACAACUGACUGAAGGCUCCUCAUAUUAUCUCACAUAUCAGUAAAUCCGUCAAAGCUACAGCUACAAUAACAGUAUCUGAGAUGUUCUAUGAUUGUUAACAAAGCCUUUCUAAACCCAUUCAGCACAUACAACAGUAAUAUUAAGUUCAUCUUGCCAUAUAUAAAUUAAAAGGGAAAUAAAGUAACAUUUACUGGUUGCAUUAAUCUUAAAAUUUAUACUGCCAUCUCCAAACUUAAAACGAAACAACUUGAGCAUUUACCAUUUGCAAAUUAAAUGAAUGCAGAAUGCAAAACUUCAAAUACUAAUUCAGUAAACAAGACUAGAAAUUGUUUGUAUUAAAGCAACAGUUGCUUCAUUUAAUGCAAUUCAACAAUUGAUGCAUAAAUAACUACAGAAACAUCAAACAGCUCAAUAAGCAAGAUGAAGAGAUUUUUUAAAAGUUUCCAGCAAUGAACAAAGAAUGUUUGCAUUAAGACACAGUUGCUUCAUUCCAUGAUGCAAUUCAACAAUGGGUGCAUGGACUCUGACUUCAGUAUGUGCAAAUGCAAUAGAACUAUUAUCUAAGAUAAAGGAAAUUACUAAGCAGCCAUGUCAACACAUUUGUUCUGGCUACCAGGGUUCACUUACUCCCUAGAUGACAAAAGCACAC